GAUGAACGCUGGCGGCGUGCCUAUUACAUGCAAGUCGAACGCAUAGCGAAAGGUGCUUGCACCUUUCAAGUGAGUGGCGAACGGGUGAGUAACACGUGGACAACCUGCCUCAAGGCUGGGGAUAACAUUUGGAAACAGAUGCUAAUACCGAAUAAAACUUAGUGUCGCAUGACACAAAGUUAAAAGGCGCUUCGGCGUCACCUAGAGAUGGAUCCGCGGUGCAUUAGUUAGUUGGUGGGGUAAAGGCCUACCAAGACAAUGAUGCAUAGCCGAGUUGAGAGACUGAUCGGCCACAUUGGGACUGAGACACGGCCCAAACUCCUACGGGAGGCUGCAGUAGGGAAUCUUCCACAAUGGGCGAAAGCCUGAUGGAGCAACGCCGCGUGUGUGAUGAAGGCUUUCGGGUCGUAAAGCACUGUUGUAUGGGAAGAACAGCUAGAAUAGGAAAUGAUUUUAGUUUGACGGUACCAGACCAGAAAGGGACGGCUAAAUACGUG
rnacentral:rRNA from 1 species